UGCAUCAGAGAGAUUCCC
rnacentral:snRNA from 1 species